AACGAACGCUGGCGGCGUGCCUAAGACAUGCAAGUCGUGCGGAAAGGCUCCUUCGGGAGUACUCGAGCGGCGCACGGGUGAGUAACACGUGGGUAAUCUACCUGAGGGUCUGGGAUAACCCCGGGAAACUGGGGCUAAUACCGGGCAAGACCACGGCGCCUUCGGGCGCAGCGGUCAAAGAUGGCCUCUCCAUGGAAGCUAUCGCCCACAGAUGAGCCCGCGUCCCAUUAGCAGUUGGCGGGGUAACGGCCCACCAAGGCUACGAUGGGUAGCUGGUCUGAGAGGAUGAUCAGCCACACUGGAACUGAGACACGGUCCAGACUCCUACGGGAGGCAGCAGUCGGGAAUUUUGGGCAAUGGGCGAAGCCUGACCCAGCAACGCCGCGUGA
rnacentral:rRNA from 1 species